GGAUCGAUGAUGACACCCUCACAUGCAUUCCUUGGAAAAUCUGAACAAAAUGAGUGAGAACUCACUACUGUCUCCUCAUCGAAACUGAGGUCC
rnacentral:snoRNA from 2 species